CGUGCUUUUAUCUCAUCAUUGCAUCAUCAUCAUCAAACCCAUAACAGUAAUCCAACAAAACAAAACAAAAAACAUUGAAAGAACAAAUAAGCUUCAGUGUGUGUAACAAAUUCAGUUCAUUGAUUCAAAAACCUCACUGAAAUCCGCUAAGAUAAUUGUUUUUUUUCAUCAUCAGCUCAUAAGUAAAAAAAAACAUCAACCAACAAAAAAAACAAUAACAGAGAAAUUUAUCUUCAAAUCAAUCAAAAGAUAAGAUAUUGAGUGAAAGGGGAAUUAAUACUCAGACAGCCAAGGGUUAAUCUUCAACUUCUGGGAGAAGAAUCCCAGAUCUGAAACUCUAGUCCACAAUACUCUUGUAUCAUCACCAUAUUCAACCCCUUCCACAUCCCAUAAAACUAAGACAUCACAAAUCUCUCUCACAAA